AACAGAUUUACUUCGGUAAUGACGUUAGGAAAGCGAGCGGCGGAUGGGUGAGUAACACGUGGGGAAUCUGCCCCAUAGUCUGGGAUACCACUUGGAAACAGGUGCUAAUACCGGAUAAGAAAGCAGAUCGCAUGAUCAGCUUUUAAAAGGCGGCGUAAGCUGUCGCUAUGGGAUGGCCCCGCGGUGCAUUAGCUAGUUGGUAAGGUAAAGGCUUACCAAGGCGAUGAUGCAUAGCCGAGUUGAGAGACUGAUCGGCCACAUUGGGACUGAGACACGGCCCAAACUCCUACGGGAGGCAGCAGUAGGGAAUCUUCCACAAUGGACGCAAGUCUGAUGGAGCAACGCCGCGUGAGUGAAGAAGGUUUUCGGAUCGUAAGGCUCUGUUGUUGGUGAA
rnacentral:rRNA from 1 species